rnacentral:rRNA from 1 species
GACGAACGCUGGCGGCGUGCUUAACACAUGCAAGUCGAACGAAUUGUCGCACGGGUGAGUAAUACGUGGGUUACCUGCCCUCCUUUUUGGGAUAAGCCUUGGAAACGGGGUCUAAUACCGCAUAAAGGGGGGUGGGCUGGUGGCCUUUCAGCUGGUUGGGGGGGUGAUGGCCUACCAAGGCGGUGACGUGUAGCCGGUCUGAGAGGGUGACCGGCAACAUUGGAAGUGCGAUACGGCUCAGGCAGCUAGGGGAGGGAGCAGUGGGGGAUAUUGCGCAAUGGGCGAGAGCCUAAUGCAGGGACGCGGCGUGGGGGAUGAGGGCUUACAGGUUGUAAACCUCGGUGGCUAUCGAACGGGUAGGUGGAGAAGAAGCGCCGGCUAACUACGUGCCAGCAGCCGCGGUAAUAC